AGCGGCGGACGGGUGACUAAUGCCUAGGAAUCUGCCUGGUAGUGGGGGACAACGUUUCGAAAGGAACGCUAAUACCGCAUACGUCCUACGGGAGAAAGCAGGGGACCUUCGGGCCUUGCGCUAUCAGAUGAGCCUAGGUCGGAUUAGCUUGUUGGUGAGGUAAUGGCUCACCAAGGCGACGAUCCGUAACUGGUCUGAGAGGAUGAUCAGUCACACUGGAACUGAGACACGGUCCAGACUCCUACGGGAGGCAGCAGUGGGGAAUAUUGGACAAUGGGCGAAAGCCUGAUCCAGCCAUGCCGCGUGUGUGAAGAAGGUCUUCGGAUUGUAAAGCACUUUAAGUUGGGAGGAAGGGCAGCUAGCGAAUACCUGGUUGUUUUGACGUUACCGACAGAAUAAGCACCGGCUAACUCUGUGCCAGCAGCCGCGGUAAUACAGAGGGUGCGAGCGUUAAUCGGAAUUACUGGGCGUAAAGCGCGCGUAGGUGGUUUGUUAAGUUGGAUGUGAAAGCCCCGGGCUCAACCUGGGAACUGCAUCCAAAACUGGCAAGCUAGAGUAUGGUA
rnacentral:rRNA from 1 species